UCUCUCUCUCUCUCUCUCUCUCUCUCUCUCUCUCUCUCUCUCUCUCUCUCUCUCUCUCUCUCUCUCUCUCUGUGUGUGUGUGUGUGUGUGUGUGUGUGUGUGUGUGUGUGUGUGUGCGUGCGUGUGUGUGUGUGUACACAAAUCACUUACAAGUCGAAUUCUAUGUAUAUACCCUGGCCAGGUCUCUCUUGUAAAUGAGACCAUUCGAUCUCAGUGGGACUUCCUGCUAAAAUAAAGGGUUACAGGGAACCUGGAGCCUAUCCCAGGGAGCAUCAGGCACAAGGCAGGGUACACCCUGGACAGGGUGCCAGUCCAUUGCAGGGCACAAUCACAUAAACUUUCACACACACCCAUUCACACACUACAGACACUUUGGAUAUGCCAAUCAGCCUACCAUGCAUGUCUUUUGACUGGGGGAGGAGACCAGAGUACCCAGAGUACCGGGGAGAACAUGCAAGCUCCACACACACGGCCCUGACAGGACUUGAACCUCGGACCCUGGAGGUGUGAGGCAGAUGUGCUAACCACUAAGCCACCAUGCACCCGGGUUUCGUGCAUGUGAAUGAAAAAAUAUUGAGAAAAAAGUGAGACGGAAGUACCCUCUUAUAUAGUGGACACUCAAAUAACUUAUUUCUAACAAUAAAAGUCUUAUUUAACAAAUAAAAACUUUUAAUCAUUUGCUAUGA